AUUAGAAGUGGAUUGGUCAAGGGAAGCGUACUUGUGCAAAAUGCGGCAGUCCAAUUCCUAACAAGUUUGGCAAGCAAUCCAUU
rnacentral:sRNA from 1 species